rnacentral:rRNA from 1 species
CCAAUAGCGUAUAUUAAAGUUGUUGCAGUUAAAAAGCUCGUAGUUGAAUUUCAGGCCUGGCUGGACGGUCCGCCCUUCGGGUGAGUACUGUCUGUGGUCGGGUCCUACCUUCUGGCGAAGCGUCAUGGCCUUAACCGGCCGUGGCGGGGAACCAGGACUUUUACUGUGAAAAAAUUAGAGUGUUCAAAGCAGGCAAUCGCUUGGAUACAU